rnacentral:rRNA from 1 species
UACAGAGGGUGCAAGCAUUAAUCGGAUUUAUUGGGCGUAAAGGGCGCGUAGGCGGACCAAAAAGUCAGAUGUGAAAUCCCGGGGCUCAACCCCGGAACAGCAUUUGAAACUCUUGGUCUAGAGGGUAGGAGGAGAAAAUGGAAUUCCACGUGUAGCGGUGAAAUGCGUAGAUAUGUGGAAGAACACCGGUGGCGAAGGCGAUUUUCUAUCUUAUACCUGACGCUGAGGCGCGAAAGCAAGAGGAUCAAACAGG